UAGAGGGGGGUGAGGGGGGCAAGAGGGGGGAGGGAGGAGGGGUGGAGAGGGGGGUGAGUAAGUGGGGGCGUGGGUGGACGGGGGGGGGGGGGGGGGGGGUGGGAAGGAAAAAUUGGAGGUAGGGUGAGGGAAGGGGGAGGGUUGAAGGGAAAAUAAUGAAACAGAGGAAAAAAGAGAAUAACAAGUAAAAAGCAAUGCAUGUAAAUACAGAGCAAGCAAGUAGGAAAGCUAGGCAUAGCACAGCAAAAGAGAGCAAAGCAAAAGAAGGCAAAGAAUGACAAAAAGCAACCUUGCAGGAAUGGAGGAAUCUGUCCAGAGCUGUGCCCCUGCUUGCCACAGGAGCUGCGCGGGAGGAGAAGAACGUGGGCCAAAAGGAAUGGAGGGAUCUGUCCAGAGCUGUGCCCCUGCUUGCCACAGGAGCUGCGCGGGAGGAGAAGAACGUGGGCCAAAAGGUAGAGGAGCUCUUUGGGGUUCUGGGCUUGAAGCAAAGCUGAGAAGCCAUGCCCGGGAGGAGGUGUGG
rnacentral:lncRNA from 7 species